UCCUCAGUAGUAUAGCGGUAAGUAUUUCCGCCUGUCAUCACCAUACCACUGCGAGAGACCAGGAUUCAAUUCCCUGCUGGGAAG